rnacentral:lncRNA from 1 species
GAGUAGUUCUGUUGUCUGAAGCCUUCUUCUCUCAACUCGUCCAAGCCAUUCUCCUUCCAGCUUUGUUCUGUUGCUCGCAAGGAGCUGCGUUCCUUUGGAGGGGGAGAGGCCCUCUGAUUUUUAGAAUUUUCAGCUUUUCUCCUCUGUUUUUUUCUGCAUCUUUGUGGUUUUAUCUACCUUUGGUCUUUGAUGAUGGUGACGUACAGAUGGGGUUUUGGUGUGGAUGUCCUUCCUGUUUUUUAGUUUUCCUUCUAACAGUCAGGACCCUCAGCUGCAGGUCUGUUGGAGUUUGCGGGAAGUCCACUCCAGACCCUGUUUGCCUGGGUAUCAGCAGCGGAGGCUGCAGAACAGCAAAUAUUGCUGAACAGGAAAUGUUGCUGCCUGAUCGUUCCUCUGGAAGCUUUGUGUCUGAGGGGUACCCAGCUGUGUGAGGUGUCAAUCUGCCCCCACUGGAAGGUGCCUCCCAGUUAGGCUACUCGGGGGUCAGGGACCCAUUUGAGGAGGCAGUCUGUUCUCAGAUCUCAAACUCCAUACUAGGAGAACCACUGCUCACUUCAAAGCUGUCAGACAGGGACAUUUAAGUCUGCAGAGAUUUCGGCUGCCUUUUGUUUGGCUAUGCCAUGCCCCCAGAGGUGGAGUCUACAGAAGGAGGCAGGUCUCCUCGAGCUCCAUUGGGCUCCACCCAGUUCAAGCUUCCAGUCCCUUUGUUUACCUAUUCAAGCCUCAGCAAUGGGGGACGCCCCUCCCCCAGCCUCGCUGCCACCUUGCAGUUUGAUCUGAGACUGCUGUGCUAGCAAUGAGUGAGGCUCCGUGGGUGUGGGACCCUCUGAGCCAUGUGUGGGAUAUAAUCUCCUGGUGUGCCAUUUGCUAAGACCACUGGAAAAGCACAGUAUUAGGGUGGGAGUGACCCAAUUUUCCAGGUGCUGUCCGUCACUGCUUCCUUUGGCUAGGAAAGGGAAUUCCCUGACCACUUGCACUUCCUGGGUGAGGUGUUGCCUCGCCCUGCUUCUGCUCACAGUCACUGCACUGCACUCACUGUCCGACAAGUUCAAGGUUUUUAGCUUCUUCUCGAUGGGUUCAAACUUCCUCCUUUAGCUCAGAGAAGU